GGAGGGUUGGCCGAGUGGUUUAUGGCGCAAGUCUUGAAAACUUGUGAGUCGUAAGACUCUCACAGGUUCGAAUCCUGUACCCUCCG
rnacentral:tRNA from 1 species